rnacentral:rRNA from 1 species
UACGUAGGGUGCGAGCGUUGUCCGGAAUUACUGGGCGUAAAAAGCUCGUAGGUGGUUUGUCGCGUUGUUCGUGAAAACUCACAGCUCAACUGUGGGCGUGCGGGCGAUACGGGCAGACUGGAGUACUGCAGGGGAGACUGGAAUUCCUGGUGUAGCGGUGGAAUGCGCAGAUAUCAGGAGGAACACCGGUGGCGAAGGCGGGUCUCUGGGCAGUAACUGACGCUGAGGAGCGAAAGCGUGGGGAGCGAACAGG